CUGCCCGUAGCUCAAGUGGAUAGAGCACCGGCCUUCUAAGCCGGGGGUUGCAGGUUCAAGUCCUGCCGGGCAGGCCA
rnacentral:tRNA from 1 species